GUCAGAAACCAAGCACCCUACUCCUUUGCUCAACCUGCGGUUCUGAAUCCUGAAACAAAAUCUGAAAACAGCAGCCAAGUUCAAGCUCAGAACCAGUGCAGUAUCUCUAGUCAAUCAACCCGAUCUCCAUCCAAUCAACCCACGCACACUGCCGCCGCCGCGGGAAGCAGAAGACACCGGAAGAGCCAACAAGGGCGCGGCACAACGCAGAAUGGUGGGUUUCCUCCGGGCCUUCGCCGCCGCCUCCGCUGUGCCUGCUGCAACUGCCGCAGCCUACGCCUUCUCUUCCACCUCCGCCCCUCAGCUUCGAAGCUCCGCUUCCCUCUGCCUGCCUCCUUCCUCUCGGCUUCCUCCUCCUUCUCGACCUCCGGGCACGCUCCCAACGCCGUGCCCUGUCAGGGAUCACAAGGGAUAAUGGAGUCAGUCAGCGGCAUGCGGUGUCAGAGGGACGAAGAUGUCGUGCCCAGGCUUCAGCGGCAAGCCGGCGCGGGCUU
rnacentral:misc_RNA from 1 species